UGUCUUAUCGCUUCUCAUCAGUUUAAUAUCUGAUAUAUCCUCUAUCUGAGGACAAUGUUAAGUGGAUUUUCAGAACAAGGAGAUAGAAAAGGAGCUUGCUUUAUCCACUCCACACACCCACCUGGUAUCACAGUACUUCCAGGAGUGGUGC
rnacentral:snRNA from 1 species